rnacentral:sRNA from 1 species
ACGUACCUUAGUACGUUCCGGUUCCUGCGCUCCGUGCGCCUUGCCUGACGACUGCUCGCUACGCCACUCCCACCCUUUUGGGCU